AUCCUUCUCUACAGAAAGUGAUCAACCGAACAUUGGUUCUGAUUUCUUUGUUCUGUCUUCCUUCUGAUUUUAUCUAGUUCUAAACUCAAUCAAUUUCCAGUCUGAGAAAUCGAAUGCCCCGACUGUGAAGCAAAAUUGAAGAUCUACGAAGCGGUGGCUUUACUCAGAUCUUUCCUUGUGAAUUUAUUUAUUUGAUAUCUUUCAGGUUUUAAUUACCUCCGGUAGCCAAGAUGUUGGAGAAGAUCGGAUUUCCGGCUAGGCCAUCUCUUCGAGGGAACAACUGAGUGGUGGAUGCUUCUCAUUGUCAGGGAUGUUCGUGUCAGUUCACCUUCAUUAACCGCAAGCAUCAUUAUCGGAGGUGCGGGGGAAUAUUUUGCAACAGUUGCACGCAGCAUAGAAUGAUUUUGUGUGGACAAGGCGAUUCUCCUGUGCGCAUAUGCGUGGACAAGUUUAAACCUUGCAAGAAGCUCGAAGAAGCUGCAAGGUUUGAGCUUCGGCAUGGACACAAAAGCAGAGCUGGAAGAGGCAUAUCGUGAAGCCAAUUGUUUUACGAGUGUAUUAUCUUGCUAUCCAUAUUACUCCUGAAAUUAAAUUUGUAGAAAUAUGAAAUAUCCAUUAUACAGUCUAUAU